rnacentral:rRNA from 1 species
UGCCUCAAAGAGGGGGACAACAGUUGGAAACGACUGCUAAUACCGCAUAAGCCCACGACCCGGCAUCGGGUAGAGGGAAAAGGAGCAAUCCGCUUUGAGAUGGCCUCGCGUCCGAUUAGCUAGUUGGUGAGGUAAUGGCCCACCAAGGCGACGAUCGGUAGCCGGACUGAGAGGUUGAACGGCCACAUUGGGACUGAGACACGGCCCAGACUCCUACGGGAGGCAGCAGUGGGGAAUAUUGCACAAUGGGGGAAACCCUGAUGCAGCGACGCCGCGUGGAGGAAGAAGGUCUUCGGAUUGUAAACUCCUGUUGUUGAGGAAGAUAAUGACGGUACUCAACAAGGAAGUGACGGCUAACUACGUGCCAGCAGCCGCGGUAAAACGUAGGUCACAAGCGUUGUCCGGAAUUACUGGGUGUAAAGGGAGCGCAGGCGGGAAGACAAGUUGGAAGUGAAAUCCAUGGGCUCAACCCAUGAACUGCUUUCAAAACUGUUUUUCUUGAGUAGUGUAGAGGUAGGCGGAAUUCCCGGUGUAGCGGUGGAAUGCGUAGAUAUCGGGAGGAACACCAGUGGCGAAGGCGGCCUACUGGGCACCAACUGACGCUGAGGCUCGAAAGUGUGGGUAGCAAACAGGAUUAGAUACCCUGGUAGUCCACACUGUAAACGAUGAUUACUAGGUGUUGGAGGAUUGACCCCUUCAGUGCCGCAG